GACGAACGCUGGCGGCGCGCUUAACACAUGCAAGUCGAGCGAGAACCAGGGCUUCGGCCCUGGGGACAGCGGCGAACGGGUGAGUAACACGUGGGUAAUCCACCCUCGGCACCGGAAUAGCCCGGGGAAACCCGGAUUAAUGCCGGCUGGCCCGCCGGCCCCGAGGGGCUGGCGGAAAAGGGAGCUUCGGCCCCCGGCCGGGGCCGAGCCGGCGACGGAUUAGCUUGUUGGUGGGAUAACGGCCUACCAAGGCUGCGAUCCGUAGCUGGUCUGAGAGGACGAUCAGCCACACUGGGACUGAGACACGGCCCAGACUCCUACGGGAGGCAGCAGCGGGGAAUCUUGCGCAAUGGGCGAAAGCCUGACGCAGCGACGCCGCGUGGGGGAAGAAGGCCUUCGGGUUGUAAACCUCUUUCAGGAGGGACGAAGCCACUCGGGUUAAUAGCCCAGAGGGUGACGGUACCUCCAGAAGAAGCCCCGGCUAACUACGUGCCAGCAGCCGCAGUAACAC
rnacentral:rRNA from 1 species